ACAGCAGUCGCCACGGGAAAACGGAGGGUGCAAGCGUUAUCCGGAUUUAUUGGGUUUAAAGGGUCCGUAGGCGGACUUAUAAGUCAGUGGUGAAAGCCUGUCGCUUAACGAUAGAACUGCCAUUGAUACUGUAAGUCUUGAGUAUAUUUGAGGUAGCUGGAAUAAGUAGUGUAGCGGUGAAAUGCAUAGAUAUUACUUAGAACACCAAUUGCGAAGGCAGGUUACCAAGAUAUAACUGACGCUGAGGGACGAAAGCGUGGGUAGCGAACAGGAUUAGAUACCCCCGUAGUCCCUGUCUCUUAUAC
rnacentral:rRNA from 1 species